UAAUACGUAGGGUGCAAGCGUUGUCCGGAAUUAUUGGGCGUAAAGAGCUCGUAGGCGGUUUGUCACGUCGGCCGUGAAAUCUCGGGGCUCAACCCCGAGCCUGCGGUCGAUACGGGCAGACUAGAGUGCUGUAGGGGAGACUGGAAUUCCUGGUGUAGCGGUGAAAUGCGCAGAUAUCAGGAGGAACACCGGUGGCGAAGGCGGGUCUCUGGGCAGUAACUGACGCUGAGGAGCGAAAGCGUGGGGAGCGAACAGGAUUAGAUACCCUGGUAGUCCACGCCGUAAACGGUGGGUGCUAGGUGUAGGGGGUAUUCCACGCCCUCUGUGCCGCAGCUAACGCAUUAAGCACCCCGCCUGGGGAGUACGGCCGCAAGGCUA
rnacentral:rRNA from 1 species